GGAAUCAGAACGGAAUUCAGAUCGAAAAUUUCUGUCCGGGUUCUCAGUUAUUGCGCGUCUUUAGCUACGAACGGUUGGAAAUCUCCCUCCAAACUAGAAACCCAUAUACCAACAACCACCACCAACAACAACAACUAAAUCAAAAUGAAUGAAGCCAGGAGUCUGUUCACCACCUUCGCCAUCUUGGCCUUCCUGCUGUUCCUGCUCUAUGCCUUCUACGAAGCCGCCUUCUAAGCCCAUCCCCCUAUACCAUCCAAUACCAUCAUACCCAUCAAUAAAUCAAGGAUACUUAUAUGUUGAAUUUCAAUUCCAAGCCCGCCCGUCCCGGCCAUGUCAAUAACACCUUUUUGGCCAAGACGGCGGCGCUUCUAGGACCCUACGCGUUUAAGAUUUUUAGCAUUUAAUGGAUUUCUACUAGUAACCUAAGCCAGAUGACGUCAAAGCCACCAGCUGCCGAAAUCGGAGGCUUGCCGGCAUUUUCCGAUUCCGAUCAUUUCGAUGAUCGAUGGACAACCCAUGCUGAGUGCGCCGCGCUAGAUUUCUUUCACCUUCGAGGCGCUGCAAGAACGAUCCAUUCCGAAGGCUCUGCUGCCGGUGUUGGCGUCAUCUGUUGUAAUCAUAAAUUUAUUUUUUGAUUUCAAUAUUAUUUCUACAUUUUUGUUUCGCAAUGGAAUUUACUACUUAGUUUGCCAUUUAUAGACCAUGAUGUACAGUAUAAGAAAUUGAGAACAACAUCAGAAAUCAAUUUAUUUCGCAUUCGUACUUAGUAAGACAUACCUAAUGUGUAACUGCAUUUUAUGUACAACUUUACUUUUCUUUAAAUUUUUUGUGAAUAACACAUGCACAACAACUAAAAAAUGAGCAACAAAAACAGCCGUCUGCAGGAAAUAAAACCAAAAAAAAACAACCUAA